rnacentral:rRNA from 1 species
CCUACGGGCGGCUGCAGUGGGGAAUAUUGGACAAUGGGGGGAACCCUGAUCCAGCCAUGCCGCGUGUGUGAAGAAGGCCCUCGGGUUGUAAAGCACUUUCAGUGAGGAAGAACGCCUGGUGGUUAAUACCCAUCAGGAAAGACAUCACUCACAGAAGAAGCACCGGCUAACUCCGUGCCAGCAGCCGCGGUAAUACGGAGGGUGCGAGCGUUAAUCGGAAUUACUGGGCGUAAAGCGCGCGUAGGUGGCUUGAUAAGCCGGUUGUGAAAGCCCCGGGCUCAACCUGGGAACGGCAUCCGGAACUGUCAAGCUAGAGUGCAGGAGAGGAAGGUAGAAUUCCCGGUGUAGCGGUGAAAUGCGUAGAGAUCGGGAGGAAUACCAGUGGCGAAGGCGGCCUUCUGGACUGACACUGACACUGAGGUGCGAAAGCGUGGGUAGCAAACAGGAUUAGAUACACCUGUAGUC